rnacentral:rRNA from 1 species
UACGUAGGUGGCAAGCGUUGUCCGGAUUUAUUGGGUUUAAAGGGUGCGUAGGCGGCCCUGUAAGUCAAUGCUGAAAUAUCCCAGCUUAACUGGGAGGGUGGCAUUGAUACUGCGGGGCUAGAGUACAGAUGAGGUAGGCGGAAUUGACGGUGUAGCGGUGAAAUGCUUAGAUAUCGUCAAGAACACCUAUAGCGAAGGCAGCUUACUAGGCUGUAACUGACGCUGAGGCACGAAAGCGUGGGGAGCAAACAGG